ACAACUCAAAAUAUUUAUCAAAAUAAAAAAUUCAAGCAUGGGUUUUGUAGUACUCGAAGCAACGAUCUCAAAAACGUAAAAAUUAUCAAAAAUCGAACAAAAACAAACCUUGAUUGAGCUUGAAUAUAUGUCGAACCCUAGCUUGGUUUCUUUCUUUUUCUUUGUUUUAAUUUUUGGCCAAGAGAAAGAUAAUGAACAUGGUUUUUGUUAAUUUAUGUUUUAUG
rnacentral:lncRNA from 1 species